AGAAUAAUAGUUUAAAUUUAAAAUACUUAAUUUGCAUUUAAGAGAUAUAAAAAAAUUUAUUUUA
rnacentral:tRNA from 1 species